rnacentral:rRNA from 1 species
UACGAAGGGGGCGAGCGUUGUUCGGAUUUAUUGGGCGUAAAGGGCGCGUAGGCGGCGCGUUUUGUCAGGCGUGAAAGCCCCGGGCUUAACCUGGGAACUGCGUUUGAUACGGAUGGGCUAGAGUUCGGGAGAGGAGAGUGGAAUUCCCAGUGUAGAGGUGAAAUUCGUAGAUAUUGGGAAGAACACCGGUGGCGAAGGCAGUUAACUAGGCGAGUCCUGACGUUGAGGCACGAAAGCGUGGGGAGCAAGACGG